rnacentral:lncRNA from 1 species
GGAGGCCGCCUCCUGCUUGCCGGCCUGGCGGUCCUACUCAACACCGCAAGAUUUCAAAAGGGAAAUUCCUCCAGGGCUGAGUCACAGGGAAGAAAGCGAUUUCCUCCGCCUCUUCCAAAGCGGCCCCUUUGGUGCCAGUCUGCUGGAGUUUGCUGGAGGUCCACUCCUGACCCUGUUUGCCUGGGUAUCACCAGCAGAGGCUGCAAAGCAGCAAAGAUUGCUGCCUGUUCUUUCUUCUAGAAGCUUCGACCCAGUGGGGCACCUGUCAGAUGCCAGCCAGAGCUCUCCUGUAUCAGGUGUCUGUCGGUCCAAGCUAGAAGGUUGUGGGGCUAGACAAGAAGGAAAAAAAUCACUGUCCUCAUGGAAGUUAAAUUGUACUGACAAAGGAGGAAAAUGUCAGGGAGUUAACAAUUCAGUCUCUGUGGCUUCCUCCUGUCCUCUCCCUGAAACUGAGAUCCAGCCAAUCUGCACAUUUAUUCUGAGAGUGGCCCCACUUUAAUGACUACACCCAGCUGUCUACACACCAGGAGGGGAGGGAACUGUAUCCUGAGGCACCAACCCGAUUACCCACCCAACAGCCACAGGGACUUCCAGUGACUGGGGCAUCAUCCUCAAUGCCACCAACCCCUCUCCUUCCUGUGGCUUUUCUAACUGGAACUGGAACUCAGAAAGUACAUUAAUCACCAAUUUGGGAAGCUAUAGGAAAGUAUGUUUUCUAAUAUACAGUGAGAGAAUGUGACUGAUAAAACCAAUUUUCUUGAGACUUUCUCCCUGGAAAGUGAAUAUAUGUAUUCAUAGGGCCUUCACAAGCACAGACUAACAAGCAAAGAGCUACAUUCACUGGGAAGGAAGACUCAAAAGUAAGUGAAAAAUAAUAGUUAACCUUUAGAUGUUGUGCAAUAAAUUAUUUUUAAUUACAUUAAAUCAAAAUAGUGUUAAAAUAUUUUCAGGUAAACCUAGUAUAUUUACUAAUAAAUUUAAGUCUUCAUAAAUAUAAAGAUAGAUCAAUGUAAAUGUAAAAAUCAUUUGUUAAACUCCAGAGAUUAUAUAAACAAAAGGUGAACCUAAUGUAAAACUGUGGACUUUAGUUGAAAAUAAUGUGUCACUAUUCUUUCAUGGGUUGUAACAAAUGUGCCACACUAAUGUAAGAUGUUAAUAAUAGCAGAAAUAGGGGGGAGAGAGGAGGGAUCUAGGAGCUCUCUGGAUUUUCCAUUUUAUUUUGUUAUAAAUCUAAAACUGUUCUUAAAAAUAAUGUCUGUUAAUUUUUUUUUUAAAAAGGAAAGAAGCACUGAUACAUGCUAUGACAUGGAAGAACUCUAAAAAUAUUAGGCUAAGGGAAAGAAGCCACAUACACAUACACAUACACAGAUAGUUUAUGGUUCCAUUUAUAUAAAAUAUUCAGAAUAGAAAAGUUCAUAGGGACAGAAAGUAGAUUACCUGGGGAGUAGGGGGUGAAAAAUGGGUAGUAACUGCUUAAUGGGUAUGAAGUUUCGUUUAGGGCGAUGAAAAUAUUCUGGAACUAGAAAGUGAUGAUGAUGGUCACACAGCAAUGUCACAUAUACAAUACCACAGAACUGUACACUUUAAAAUGGUUAAAGGGUUUUAUUUUAUGUUAUGUAUUUUACCACAAUUGAAAAAAAUGUUUAUUAAAAUUAAUGUGUAAACAUUUGUGGAAGAAUAAUGUGUAGUUUCUAACAUUUAUGUGUUUAAAUUUAUGAGUUUAAAAAUAGAAAAAAAAAUGAUGGCCCAGAAGAGCAAGUUCAGAGUGCUGUUCAUGAGUGAUCCGCAUGGGACCGCGAUGCCUCUGACGUCUGCCAUCCUGGAGAGCAGCAGAGCGUCACUAGCAGGUCCUCGUCUUCUCACUUCAUAACAUUCUUUCCAAAAGUCUUGUUGACAUUCUUCUGUCUUCCACAUAUAGUUUAUCUUCUUGAACUCAUUAUAACUUUAAAAUAUUUUUACUGUGUUACAUGUACUGCUUAUAUUUGUUUAUUUUAUAAUUAUUAAUUUUAAAUUGUGCACUUUAUUUUGCUCUAACAAUAAAAUUGACAUGUUCGUAUAGAUGAUA